AGUGAACGCUGGCGGUAGGCCUAACACAUGCAAGUCGAACGGCAGCACAGUAAGAGCUUGCUCUUACGGGUGGCGAGUGGCGGACGGGUGAGGAAUACAUCGGAAUCUACUUUUUCGUGGGGGAUAACGUAGGGAAACUUACGCUAAUACCGCAUACGACCUACGGGUGAAAGCAGGGGAUCUUCGGACCUUGCGCGAUUGAAUGAGCCGAUGUCGGAUUAGCUAGUUGGCGGGGUAAAGGCCCACCAAGGCGACGAUCCGUAGCUGGUCUGAGAGGAUGAUCCGCCACCCUGGAACUGAGACCCGGUCCAGACUCCUACGGGGGGCAGCAGGGGGGAAUUUUGGACAAUGGGCGCAAGCCUGAUCCAGCCAUACCGCGGGGGUGAAGAAGGCCUUCGGGUUGUAAAGCCCUUUUGUUGGGAAAGAAAAGCAGCAGGUUAAUACCCCGCUGUUCUGACGGUACCCAAAGAAUAAGCACCGGCUAACUUCGU
rnacentral:rRNA from 1 species